CCUCCAACAUAUACAGCUAUCUCAGGUAUGAUAUGUCACUUUUAUUGCUUAGAAUGUACUCUGUUAACAAACUUUUAUACUAAUCAAUGUCAAUUAUACAAAGUUAUACACAAUAAAAACAAUGCUAUGCUUAGUAUGUUCUUUUUGACUGCAAAACAUCUGUUCCUCACCCCAUAAUUAAAUUUCUAAGUAUUUUAACACUAAAAUGAAUAUAUUUCUAAUCAGUUUAAAACUUUAUACAACUCGAACAUUUGUAACAGCUUUUAUCAAUCUCAUUGUUAGAGGAACUAUAUAUUAUACCUCUGAUAAGUUUUGUUACAAAAGUGUCUCUUCAAUUCAAAAGUUACUGCAACAACACAAGCAACUCUCCCAGGUAUGAUAUUUACAUUUUUUUGGCUUCAAGCAUACUUUAUUGACACCUUUUACUGCUCUAACAUUGCUCUCUAUCACUUUUAACUAACUUCCCUCCUUGUACGCCAGCUACAGUACAUUGCCUCUCCAGUGCAAACCUUCUCAAUCAACCAUUCAGUCUAGAUUUCCUACUGCAAAUUGAAGAGCAUGUCAACAUAUGAAGGUGACUUGGUGGCAAAAUGCUACUUUACAAAGCACAACACCUGUGUAUUAUCCUCUAGUGACUUUAGUUACAAAACUCUCUAUUCCAUUCAAAAGUCACUACUGCAACAUUAACAACUCACCCAGAGAUACAUAUUAACAGACAACAACAUACCCAUGAUUGCACUCCAUGUCGAUUACAACCAAACAUUUUCUGGCAAAACCUUUGACCGACCACACUAAAUCACCUUUCCUAUUUCACCAAUAUCCAUUCAUUUUGUUCCCCAUAUUUCAGAUUUAAAUAUCUCAAAUCUAUCACUAUGUUGCCCUUGCAAAAAUUGCAGACAACAAACAAAAAAAUUUAGGGUGUUUUCAAACUUCACUGCAUUCCAGAUUUAUGACACUAAUCAGAGCAUCUGUGUAUUAUCCUCUGAUAACUUUUGUUACAAAACUAUUUGUUCCAUUCAAAACUCGCUCCUGCAACAUAAACAACUCACCCAGCUGUGAUUUCAAAGGAAGGAUCCAAGGCCUGCAACACACCAGGCAACUUGAGCCAAUCUCAAAGCCUCCAAUUUCCAUAUGCCAGUUUUGAGGAUUGUAGCA